rnacentral:rRNA from 1 species
CUUGGUCAUUUAGAGGAAGUAAAAGUCGUAACAAGGUUUCCGUAGGUGAACCUGCGGAAGGAUCAUUAUCAAAAAAAUUCAUUUUUUUUUGAAAUACUUUUCCAUUUCCCUUGUGUAUCUAUUCCAUGUUGCUUCCACUAGACUGGUAUAUAUAUAUAUAGUUAUAUAUUUACCCUCCAAACCUCGUUGUUAACACUCUAGGGCUUGGAGUCAUGUCAGUGGAUAGCCAUAAUUUUAAGAGAAACCUUUAAUAUAUAGUCUGAUAAAGAGUUACAUUUAAAGAAAUAAAACUUUCAACAACGGAUCUCUAGGCUCUUGCAUCGAUGAAUAACGCAGUGAAAUGUGAUAAGUAAUGUGAAUUGCAGAAUCUCGUGAAUCAUCGAAUCUUUGAACGCACAUUGCGCCCAAUGGUAUUCCAUUGGGCAUACCUGUUUGAGUAUCAGAAUCCUUUCAAUUAUCAAACUUUUAUAUAUAGAGAUGUAUGUAAAGAUGUUUGGAAUACAAUUGAGAAAAGUAGUAUUCCUUAUGGUAUUACUUUCUUAAAAACUAGAAAUAAUAUGUUUUGAUUUUUCUUCACCUCAUUUUGUAUGAAAUUUUAACAAAUGAGUAUGAGUAAAAAUAACAAUACUUUGGAUGACCUCAAAUCAGGUAGGGAUACCCGCUGAACUUAAGCAUAUCAAUAAGCGGAGGA